rnacentral:rRNA from 1 species
CCUACGGGUGGCUGCAGUGAGGAAUAUUGGUCAAUGGGCGCAAGCCUGAACCAGCCAAGUCGCGUGAGGGAUGACUGUCCUAUGGAUUGUAAACCUCUUUUGUCGGGGAGCAAGGCCCGCCACGUGUGGCGGGAAGGAGAGUACCCGAAGAAAAAGCAUCGGCUAACUCCGUGCCAGCAGCCGCGGUAAUACGGAGGGUGCUAGCGUUAUCCGGAUUUAUUGGGUUUAGAGGGUGCGUAGGCGGAAGGUUAAGUCAGCGGUCAAAUGUCGGUGCUAAACACCGGUCUGCCGUUGAAACUGGUCGUCUAGAGUGAGCGAGAGGUAUGCGGAAUGCGUGGUGUAGCGGUGAAAUGCAUAGAUAUCACGCAGAACUCCGAUUGCGAAGGCAGCAUACCGGCGAUCAACUGACGCUGAGGCACGAAAGCGAGGGGAUCGAACAGGAUUAGAUACCCUAGUAGUC